GCUGGUGUGGCAUCGGGGCUCUUCCGCUUUCCGAACCCCUGGGCAACAGGGACUCCAUCCAAUACUGGGGCCUCGUCGUCCUCCACGAUCCGCAUCUUCCUCCUUGUGCGGUCCGAGCGGUGGGCUUCCUUCAGUGCCUGCGCGUGCCGGUCCUCGGCCUCUUUGAGGGCCUCGAUGGCGAGGGCCUCAUUGCUUUGGGCGGCCGCGGCUCGGGCCUCAGCUGCUGCCAAUCUCACCUGGAGCCUCCUCACCAUAAUCUCGGCAUCCU
rnacentral:lncRNA from 1 species